rnacentral:rRNA from 1 species
UACGUAGGGGGCAAGCGUUGUUCGGAAUCACUGGGCUUAAAGGGCGCGUAGGCGGCUUGUCAAGUCCGGGGUGAAAUCCUCCAGCUUAACUGGAGAAGUGCCUUGGAUACUGGCGAGCUCGAGUGAGGUAGGGGCAGUUGGAACUUCCGGUGGAGCGGUGAAAUGCGUUGAUAUCGGAAGGAACGCCGGUGGCGAAAGCGAACUGCUGGACCUCUUCUGACGCUGAGGCGCGAAAGCUAGGGGAGCGAACGGG